GACGAACGCUGGCGGCGUGCUUAACACAUGCAAGUCGAACGGACAGGCCCUGCUUUUGCGGCGUGCUCGAGUGGCGAACGGGGGAGUAACACGUGAGUAACCUGCCCUUGACUUUCGGAUAACUUCAGGGAACAGGGGCUAAUACCGGAGAGGAGCUCCUGCUGCAUGGUGGGGGUUGGAAAGAUUCGGCGGUUGGGGCUGGACUCGCGGCUUAUCCGCUUGUUUGGGGGGUAGUGGCUUUCCAAGGCUUUGAAGGGUAGCCGGCCUGAGAGGGGGAACGGCGACAUGGGGACUGAGAUACGGCGCAGACUCCUACGGGACGCAGCAGUGGAGAAUAUUGCACAAUGGGCGCACGCCUGAUGCAGCAGCGCCGCGUGCGGGAUGACGGCCUUCGGGUUGUAAACCGCUUUCGCCUGUGACGAAGCGUGAGUGACGGUAAUGGGUAAAGAAGCACCGGCUAACUACGUG
rnacentral:rRNA from 1 species